GUGCUGUAGACCUGUUUUCCUCUCUUUCAGU
rnacentral:piRNA from 1 species